UCAAACUUGAGAGUUUGAUCCUGGCUCAGAACGAACGCUGGCGGCAUGCCUAAUACAUGCAAGUCGAACGAGAUCUUCGGAUCUAGUGGCGCACGGGUGCGUAACGCGUGGGAAUCUGCCCUUGGGUUCGGAAUAACGUCGGGAAACUGACGCUAAUACCGGAUGAUGACGUAAGUCCAAAGAUUUAUCGCCCAGGGAUGAGCCCGCGUAGGAUUAGCUAGUUGGUGGGGUAAAGGCCUACCAAGGCGA
rnacentral:rRNA from 1 species